UUUUUUUUUGUAAACUUAAUUCAUAUGAAAUAUUACUCAGUUUUCAAUGAACCACGUCUCCAGUGCAAGUACUCGGAUUGUGUAGAAUACAUUCCAGUAAUGUUAUUGGACAUUUUUUUUUUCGUAAACUUAAUUCAUAUGAAAUAUUACUCAAUUUUCCUUGAAAACAUUUAAAUUUAAAAUAUUUAACUUUUCAAUGUAUAAACAGAAGCAAGAGGUUGCUACCCUUGUUUUAAUAGUAAGGGAGCUUUUCCCUUUCACUCAAGUUUUCUCUCAUUUUCAAUGAGGUUCUCUGAGGCAGGAUGCCUCGUUUUGUGCCAGUUGUGCGCCUGUCCUUACCCUAUCCAGGUCGGGAUGGCUUUUCCCUCUCCCUCGCCUUCUCCGCUAGGUGAGAUUUGUACAUAGUUUUGGUGGUUUCGGUUUUGCGUUCAGUGGUUUAUUGGAAGGGAGUGGUUUUUGGCCUGUCAUAUGUUGGUGCAAGUGGUUGUUUUCUCUUGUUUUUGUAGGUUUUGUAGCUCUAGAUCUACAAGCAAAAGGAGUCUGAUGGAGAUAUGAAGGCGGGAGGUGUUCUCUGUUUCUUGUUUGAAGCGGUACCCUCUCCCUUCUUUGUCUGUUUUGUAGAUCUUGUAGAGAUGGUUGACCUGACUUGAUUGAGGAAGAAUGACUUCUCUUUUUGUAGAGUUAGAUGCCUUUCUUCGUCUGACUCGGUGCAUGUGCUUCUCUAUUCUUUGCGUCUUUUGGUUUUCUCUAUUCUUUGCGUCUUUUGGUUUUCUCUGUUCUUUGCGUUGCGUCUUUUGGUUUUGGUUGACUUGCAUUUCUUUGGCACUAGUGGUUCUGAACUCCUUGGGCUUCAUCUGGAUGUUUAACUCUUCGAUUUUCAUGGNNN
rnacentral:lncRNA from 1 species